rnacentral:rRNA from 1 species
AGCGAACGCUGGCGGCAGGCCUAACACAUGCAAGUCGAACGGACCCUUCGGGGUUAGUGGCGGACGGGUGAGUAACACGUGGGAACGUGCCUUUAGGUUCGGAAUAGCUCCUGGAAACGGGUGGUAAUGCCGAAUGUGCCCUUCGGGGGAAAGAUUUAUCGCCUUUAGAGCGGCCCGCGUCUGAUUAGCUAGUUGGUGAGGUAAUGGCUCACCAAGGCGACGAUCAGUAGCUGGUCUGAGAGGAUGACCAGCCACCUUGGGACUGAGACAAUGCCCAAACUCCUACGGGAGGCAGCAGUGGGGAAUCUUGCGCAAUGGGCGAAAGCCUGACGCAGCCAUGCCGCGUGGAUGAUGAAGGUCUUAGGAUUGUAAAAUCCUUUCACCGGUGAAGAUAAUGACUGUAGCCGGAGAAGAAGCCCCGGCUAACUUCGUGCCAGCAGCCGCAGUAAUAC